rnacentral:tRNA from 1 species
GACCCCAUAGUUCAACCGGAUAGAACAAGAGCCUCCUAAGCUUUAGAUCCAGGUUCGAGUCCUGGUGGGGUCA